UACGUAGGGUGCAAGCGUUGUUCGGAAUCACUGGGCGUAAAGCGCACGUAGGCGGGUCUGCAAGUCGAUUGUGAAAUCCCAGGGCUUAACCUUGGAAUUGCAAUCGAAACUGCAGGUCUUGAAUACCUGAGAGGGUGGGGGAAUUCCUGGUGUAGAAGUGAAAUUCGUAGAGAUCAGGAGGAACAUCGGCGGUGAAGGCGCCUGCCUGGCAGUGUAUUGACGCUGAGGUGCGAAAGCAUGGGGAGCAAACAGG
rnacentral:rRNA from 1 species